UUCUACUCGUUGUAUUUCUAUGUUUGCAUGGGCGGGUCUGAGCGGCUGGACUGAUCUACCGCUGACCAAUAAGCUGCUCCCCUGCUAACCGCCAGCCAAUAGAACUGCUUCUUUGCUUGCUGCCUUACCAAUCAGCGGCUGCCGCUGAAGCUCGGCGCUUACAGAACAGAGGAGCAGCCGCCAUUUUGUUUGUUUUUAUCGCAACUGUUACGGGAAGUGGUAGUGGGGAGGGAGCAGGGGGGAGGGAGGAACUCCCCCGGGUGACGUUAGCCUAGCACGUCUUAUCAGCCGAGCUCAGAGUGGCAGGACAGUGUCCAAUCAGAAGGCCAGAACGACGCGAAGAGGCCAGGCGGAGAAAGUUAAGAUUAAAUGAUGACUAAAUGUUACAUCAGCGUAUGAUGACUGACGUGAUUGCAUCAUGCAGUGGCUAUUUGUCAGCAGAUGCCCAGUUGAUAAGGGGCCCAUCGAGUGUCGAGGAAAAUAUCUUCACCCCAUUAGGGGGCAUGAUGGGAAACAGACAUCGACAGUAUGGAAGGCAGUGGCCGGCCACUAACCGAUAACCUGCAAUCAAUCAAUCAACCAAUACUCAAUCAAUAAUAACAAUAUACUUCUAAGUACAACAUGAAGGAGAAGAAUACACGACUGUGCUGCUGUUACACUAGAGGUGUGGGAACGGCAGCCAUGAACAGUCCACAGCACGAACGCCCCUGUGAUCACAUCAGAACGGCCCCAAAGAAAACAAAAAAAUUAAUAAUAAUAAUAAAAAGAGCAAUAAAAGCAGUAAUAACACCUUUGGAAUAAAAUAACAAAUAAAUAUAAAGCUGCAGACUGAAAGGCUAAAUACUGACAUCCAUCUGAAUUGGCACAAAGAAGAGUUCAGAAGCUGU